rnacentral:rRNA from 1 species
UGGUGCCAGCAGCCGCGGUAAUACAGAGAGUGCGAGCGUUAAUCGGAAUCACUGGGCGUAAAGCGCGCGUAGGUGGAUAUUUAAGUCGGAUGUGAAGGCCCCGGGCUUAACCUAGGAAUUGCAUCCGAUACUGGAUGUCUCGAGUAUGGUAGAGGGAAGUGGAAUUUCCGGUGUAGCGGUGAAAUGCGUAGAUAUCGGAAAGAACACCAGUGGCGAAGGCGGCUUCCUGGACUAAUACUGACACUGAGGUGCGAAAGCGUGGGGAGCAAACAGGAUUAGAAACCCGUGUAGUCCCA